GAUGAACGCUGGCGGCGUGCCUAAUACAUGCAAGUCGAGCGAACAGAUAAGGAGCUUGCUCCUUUGACGUUAGCGGCGGACGGGUGAGUAACACGUGGAUAACCUACCUAUAAGACUGGGAUAACUUCGGGAAACCGGAGCUAAUACCGGAUAACAUAUUGAACCGCAUGGUUCAAUAGUGAAAGGCGGCUUUGCUGUCACUUAUAGAUGGAUCCGCGCCGUAUUAGCUAGUUGGUAAGGUAACGGCUUACCAAGGCAACGAUACGUAGCCGACCUGAGAGGGUGAUCGGCCACACUGGAACUGAGACACGGUCCAGACUCCUACGGGAGGCAGCAGUAGGGAAUCUUCCGCAAAGGGCGAAAGCCUGACGGAGCAACGCCGCGUGAGUGAUGAAGGUCUUCGGAUCGUAAAACUCUGUUAUCAGGGAAGAACAAAUGUGUAAGUAACUGCGCACAUCUUGACGGUACCUGAUCAGAAAGCCACGGCUAACUACGUG
rnacentral:rRNA from 1 species